UACGGAGGGCGCGAGCGUUAAUCGGAAUUACUGGGCGUAAAGCGCGCGUAGGCUGUUGUGUAAGUUGGGGGUGAAAUCCCACGGCUCAACCGUGGAACAGCCCUUGAUACUGCGCGACUUGAAUCCGGGAGAGGGUGGCGGAAUUCCAGGUGUAGGAGUGGAAUGCGCAGAUAUCGGGAAGAACACCGAUGGCGAAGGCAGAUCUCUGGGCCGCAACCGACGCUGAGGCGCGAAAGCGUGGGGAGCAAACAGG
rnacentral:rRNA from 1 species